rnacentral:rRNA from 1 species
CAGCAGCCGCGGGAAUACGAAGGGUGCAAGCGUUAAUCGGAAUUACUGGGCGUAAAGCGUGCGUAGGCGGUGAGUUAAGUCUGCUGUGAAAUCCCCGGGCUCAACCUGGGAAUGGCAGUGGAUACUGGCUCGCUAGAGUGUGUCAGAGGAUGGUGGAAUUCCCGGUGUAGCGGCGAAAUGCGUAGAGAUCGGGAGGAACAUCAGUGGCGAAGGCGGCCAUCUGGGACAACACUGACGCUGAGGCACGAAAGCGUGGGGAGCAAACAGGAUUAGAUACCCCGGUAGUCCCUGUCUCUUAUAC